GGGUCGAUGCUCGAGUGGUUAAUGGGGGCGGGCUGUAAAUCCGCUGGCAAUGCCUACGCUGGUUCAAAUCCAGCUCGGCCCA
rnacentral:tRNA from 1 species